AAGUCGUAACAAGGUUUCCGUAGGUGAACCUGCGGAAGGAUCAUUAGUGAAUAACAGGACGUUCAAUUUAACUUGAAGUCCGAACUCUCACUUUCUAACCCUGUGCAUUUGUUUUGGUUAGUAGAAUGCUUGCGUUCGAACACCUCUUCAUUUUACAAACACUAAGUCAAAGAAUGUUUAAAUUUUAUAACAAAACAAAACUUUCAACAACGGAUCUCUUGGCUCUC
rnacentral:misc_RNA from 1 species